CUUCCUCCCUGCUGUUUCUUUCUGUGGCCAGUUCCUUGUUUCCUCUUUUCUGGCAGUGUUUGAAGUGCACCACAUGGUAGCUUCCCUGUAAUGCUCACCUUGUCCCUACACAGAAUGGGCAUUCCCCUUUCCCAUGUGUUUGUGCAGAGCAAGCCUAAAAUCAGCCUGCCACAUUUCCUCUGCCCCUUCCCCAUUAACUUCACACACUCAUGUUUCUCUCUCUAGAGGAACCAGCUUUUGUAGAAGAGGACAUGCAUUAAUCAAUUCCAUCUUCAUGAAGGACCUUUUUACAGUUAACUACAAAGCAAGAUACAGUGAAUUCCUGGAAAUGAACUUCUCUGCGAAGUGUUGCCCUUUUUAUUGGCCCAGCAGAAAGAGGACCUACUAAUAAAUGCCAUUAGACUUCAAGCCGGAAGCAGUUCAGUUCCCUGAAGGCUACUGAGUAGCCAAUCUCGCAGAGCCAAGGCUUGCCAGAUACGACAGUCCAGGACUGAGGAGGACACGUUGGUCUGGCAGUUAGAGAACAGAUGAGUACAUUUUUGCUGCAACAUAAUCUAAUUAUGUAACAGAUGCA
rnacentral:lncRNA from 1 species